rnacentral:rRNA from 1 species
UACGUAGGGGGCAAGCGUUGUCCGGAAUUAUUGGGCGUAAAGCGCGCGCAGGCGGUUAUGUAAGUCUGGUGUUUAAACCCAAGGCUCAACCUUGGGUCGCAUUGGAAACUGCAUGGCUUGAGUGCAGAAGAGGAGAGUGGAAUUCCACGUGUAGCGGUGAAAUGCGUAGAUAUGUGGAGGAACACCAGUGGCGAAGGCGACUCUCUGGGCUGUAACUGACGCUGAGGCGCGAAAGCGUGGGGAGCAAACAGG